rnacentral:rRNA from 1 species
GAUGAACGCUGGCGGCGUGCCUAAUACAUGCAAGUCGAGCGAACAGACGAGGCGCUUGCUCCUCUGACGUUAGCGGCGCACGUGUGAGUAACACGUGUAUAACCUCCCUAUCAGACUGGGAUAACUUCGGGAAACCGGAGCUAAUCCCAUAUAAUAUCUUGCACCGCAUGGUUCAAUAGUGAAAGUCGGUUUUUCUGUCACUUAUAGAUGGUUUCGCGCCGCAUUAGCUAGUUGGUAAGGUCACGGGUUACCAAGGCAACGAUCCGUAGCCGACCGGAGAGGGUGAUCGGCGACAUGGGAAGGUAGACAGGGACCAUGCGCCUACGGUAGGGAGCAGAAGGGAAUGGGCGGCAGUGGGCGGAAGCCUGACGGAGCAACGGCGCGUGAGUGAUGAAGGUCUUCGGAUCGUAAAACUCUGUUAUUAGGGAAGAACAAAUGUGGAAGUAGAUAUGGACGUAGUGACGGUACCGAAUCAGGAAGCAACGGCUAACUACGUG